CAGCAGCCACGGGAAUACGUAGGGUGCAAGCGUUAAUCGGAAUUACUGGGCGUAAAGCGUGCGUAGGCGGUGAGUUAAGUCUGCUGUGAAAUCCCCGGGCUCAACCUGGGAAUGGCAGUGGAUACUGGCUCGCUAGAGUGUGUCAGAGGAUGGUGGAAUUCCCGGUGUAGCGGUGAAAUGCGUAGAGAUCGGGAGGAACAUCAGUGGCGAAGGCGGCCAUCUGGGACAACACUGACGCUGAGGCACGAAAGCGUGGGGAGCAAACAGGAUUAGAUACCCCCGUAGUCCCUGUCUCUUAUAA
rnacentral:rRNA from 1 species